rnacentral:misc_RNA from 1 species
GAUGAAGAACGCAGCGAAAUGCGAUAAGUAAUGUGAAUUGCAGAAUUCAGUGAAUCAUCGAAUCUUUGAACGCACAUUGCGCCCUCUGGUAUUCCGGGGGGCAUGCCUGUUCGAGCGUCAUUACAACCCUCAAGCUUUGCUUGGUAUUGGACAUUGCCAGUUUCUGGCAGGUCUUAAAAUCAGUGGCUGUGCCAUUUGGCUUCAAGCGUAGUAAUUCUUCUCGCUUUGGAGAUCCAAGUGGUUACUUGCCAAUAACCCCCAAUUUUUUCAGGUUGACCUCGGAUCAGGUAGGGAUACCCGCUGAACUUAAGCAUAUCAAUAAGCGGAGGA